ACGGGAGGCAGCAGUGGGGAAUAUUGGGCAAUGGGCGCAAGCCUGACCCAGCGACGCCGCGUGAGGGAAGACGGUCUUCGGAUUGUAAACCUCUUUCAGCAGGGAAGAUAAUGACGGUACCUGCAGAAGAAGCCACGGCUAACUACGUGCCAGCAGCCGCGGUAAUACGUAGGUGGCAAGCGUUAUCCGGAAUUACUGGGUGUAAAGGGUGUGUAGGCGGGAAUGCAAGUCAGAUGUGAAAAUCAUGGGCUCAACCCAUGACCUGCGUCUGAAACUGUAUUUCUUGAAAGUGGGAGAGGUAAAUGGAAUUCCUGGUGUAGCGGUGAAAUGCGUAGAUAUCAGGAGGAACACCGGUGGCGAAGGCGAUUUACUGGACCACAACUGACGCUGAGACACGAAAGCGUGGGGAGCAAACAGGAUUAGAUACCCUGGUA
rnacentral:rRNA from 1 species